rnacentral:lncRNA from 1 species
GUAACAGAACAAUAUAAGAAAAUAUACAAUUUUUAUUGUAUUUUUAGGAUUUUACGAGUGCUUCAAAUUUUUGGAGCUUAAGCCUUUGUCGUAUGGAUUCAGAUCGAGACAAUAAAACAAACGGAGAGGAACUAGGAGAUCCUAAUUGUGUAUGGUUUGAAGGACAAACUCCAUCUGACACACCUAUGAGCCAUCCUGGUAAGCAUACACAUGGAAACAUAAACGUAUCAAUAACAUAUGUAAAUGGACUAAGAACGAUCUUAUUUUUGAUAAUAAAUUAUUAAUGUUUUGCUAUUUCAUAUUAUAGAAAUACUAAUUGCUUAAACACCAGAACAUCGAGUUGAUUCAUACGAAUGCCGUUUUAUUUGUGUAUGGACAAUUUCACAAUAAAAUCUAUGACAAACCGGACGAUUUCAACUGCCCAAUUGAUCUAUUUCCAAUUUUCAAUUUCUCAGCAGUUACAUCUGGUAUCUUUCGUCCUUUUUUACAUACCCUCUGCCCUAUCGUAGUUUGUUAACAUAUCUUAGUUGAUACGUUAUUCUCGUACAUGUUCAUAAUGUACGGAAUCCAUAUACAGGAUUGUGCUCAUUAUGUAGAAACUGCUCCAAAAAAUUAUAAGGGGGAAAUAUUAAAAAUGACAAUCCGUAAAUGUCAUGAACACCAUCACGAAUUGAUUGAUGUAAGCGAUGUGUCCGUGUCUUAAGGAUGUACUUAGGUGAGGUUUUGAAUUUGUGUCAAAUGUUCGAACUCCUUGGUGUUUUUCCAUACAAUACAGUGUAAAAUAUUUUGCCUCAUAACACCCAUUUAUUUUUUCAUAUAAAACUUAAUAGCUCACGAAUGGUCAUUUACCAAAAUUUUAAAAGAUUCUUGAUUUUCUUUCUUUUGUUUUGAGACCCAAAUAAGACCAAUGCAAAUAUAAGGUAAAAGUCCGAGUCAGCCUUUUCCCGCCAUAUUUUAAACCUCAAAUAUCUCGAAAAGGAGGUCCAUGACCUAUCAAUAUUUUUAGCUUAUUUUUAGCCUUGAUUGAUGCUCUACCAGCUUAUAGUAUCAAUUUUAAUUUCUUAAUUUCUUAAUUUUUACCUAACCUCACUUAAGUACAUCCUUAAAUAACUAAGUAUAAAUAAAGAAGAUGUGGUAUGAUUACCGGUGAGACAACUCUCCACAAGAGACCAAAGUGACACACAACAACUAUAGGAUCGUACGGCCUUCCACAAUGACCAAAGCCCAUACCGCCAAGCCAGGUAUAAAAGACCCCGAAAUGAUAAUGAAAAACAAUUCAAACGAAAAAUCUAACGGCCUAAUUUAUGUACAAAAGAUGAACGAAAAACAAAUAUAACACAUAAAACAAACGACAACUAUUAAAUAACAGGCACCUGCCUUGGGACAGGUUCAUAUAUACAGACUAUGGCGGGGUUAAACAUGAUAGCGGGAUCCAAACUCCACUUUACUCGGGACAGUGGUAUAUCAGUACAACAUAAGAACGAACUAUAAAAAUCAGUUGUAAAAAGCUCAGAUGGAUAAAAAUAAGGACAUUUUUUUACCACGUUUUAGAUUGCGGUUCACCAUUUACAACGUCUGGUCCGUUAAGUACCGAUCAUGACCAUACUCAAAUAUGAUUGAAUGUUAAUUCGAAUUGCUUUAAGACGUGCCGUGGUAUUCUAUCCAACUUUCAUGUAUAUAGAUAUGAUGUGGAAUUAUGUAAUUCUAAUCGUAUAUAAUUUAAAUGGUUUAUCGUUUGUACAUGUACAUGUUGUAGUUGUUCAUUUUUAGGUCUUUCCACCUUUCCGUGGAAAGACCUAUCGGAUUUCUUUUGAUUAUUUUUUCUCCUUCGCUGUUUUUUUGUUUCGCAAGAUGUCGCUUAGAAAUUUGGAAUAUGAUAUCGAACAGUUUAUAUGCUUUUGAAACCAACUCUGCUUAACCGAAUACUUUCCCAUAUAAGAGUUAUCUCCCCAAACACUGUUUUUCUUGUUAUCUCUAAGGCUUCGCAACCGUAUAAGAAACCGACAAAUUUAUUUUUCCAAAUUGCUUGUUAUAUCCUCAGGAUGUUCUGUUUUAUUUUGACUGAAGCCGUAUCGAGAUUCCAUAUGAAAGUUAUUUCCCCUUUUGUAUUUGAAAUUUUGAAAUGUAUUUUUAACUGGAAAACUAUAAGUGAUAGAGGCCUAUGGUCUUUAUAUUUGAGGUCCUUGGUCCCAAAAAAAUAAAAUGAGGUCAAGGUCAAAGGUCAAGGUCAUGUUCAAAAUUUUGAUUUUGGCUUGUUAUCUCUCAUUUUCAGAAAUCUUAUAAGAUAUCGACAAAAAAUUUUCACACAAUUGUUAGUUGCGACAUGUUGUAACACGUAAGUUGUAGUCGUAAAGGUACGUAAACAUUUAAUGCGAGUUUUCCCCCUUUUAUAUCUAAUAUCAGUCAUAUGGUAAUAUAACUCAUUAACAAUAUAAAGUAGAGACCUAGAGUCUUUUGAUUUGAGGUCCUUGGUUUAUGACCUUGAAAUUGAGCUCAAGGUCAUAUGUUAAUUUAACGUUGUAAAUUUUGACCUUUGCUUUUACCUCAUAUGUACACAUGAUUAAGCCAUGGGACUUUUUGCAUUAGGUUGUAAGCAAUGUGACCUUAAAAAAUACACCCGGAAGUGACCUUUUGUAAACCGGAAGUAGCUAUUUUUUGUACUAAAUCAAUGUAAAAGUAUAUAGAACCAUUUAUUUUUGGAAUCAGUGUCAAGUAAACUAUCAAACAAUACCAGAAGUAACAACUUUUAAACUGGAAGUAAAAGAUAAACUCCCUUAUUUAUAUCUUUUUUAUAUAGAAACCAUAUAUUUUUGGAAUAAGCAUACAAUAAGCUGUCAUUUGACGCUGAAACUUACAUUUAAAAUCAAAUUUUAAUAUUUUCAUUUUUAAAUAGAUCUUAACUGGUGGAAAGACCUUCAAUUGUUCUCUGAACAAUUGGUUUUUAAUUUUAUUUUCUAUUCGUAUGUAAAAAAAAACUAAAAGAUUAAUCACCCAGUUCAUUUAUAAGAUUUUACUUGAAAGCAACUAUAUGAACACGAUUAUUUUUUAACGUUUUACAUUUUUAAAUAAGAAUACCGACAUAGCUAGAUGAUACAAUUAGUUAUCUUAUUUCUAACAUAAUUUUAUAUCAGUAUUCUUGAAAUUUUUAUUUCUUUUUUUACAUCAAAUGACAUAGUUACAUUUGUCCAAACCUGAUCCUGAACUGUGGCAAAUAUUAAGAAAUUUACAUGUGACAUCACUUUUGUAGCAUUGAUCUAGUCGUGUGAAAGACAGUUCGUAGUUCUGUUGUGCUGUCCUAUGUUGUUUUACGUAUUUUUUUUCUGUGAUUAGCAUGUCGAAAUGUACUAUUUGUAUUGUAUAUUUGUGUAUUUCUCUGUCUUGAAUGUUCUUGUUAUAGUUCGUUUCCGUGUGUGUUGCAUUGUUUGUUUUUUUUUUUUUUGUUCACUUUUAUAGUUGAUGUGUUUCCCUCGGUUUUAGUUUGUAACCCGGAUUUGUUUUUUUGUUUUUUUUUCUCUACCGAUUUAUGACUUUCAAACAGCAGUAUACCUCUAUUUACAUUGAUAUUCCACAAAGAUUGUGCUUUCUAUCGCCUUUAUGUCUCGUCUAAUUCGUCAUAAAAAUCAACUUUGUCUGGCGUGUCCAUCUCAUGGGCAUUAAAUCUUCAACAGUUACAUGCGUAAAAUAAUGUCUAAACAGUCAUACCAAAUGAAAUUACAAAUAAUGUUAUAUUGAAUUUCAAUUCUCAGUUCUAUAAUUCAAAGUUUUAAAGAUAUUUUGGUAGAAUACAAGUCAAUAUUUAUCAAGUUUGAUUCCUCCCCCUUGACUCUCCUUUUUUUAGAUACACCAAAGUAACAAUAAUAUUCGUCGAAGAUUCUAAAUUUAUUAAAAUAUCUGAUUUUUGAACAAGCAGUUUUUAAUGAAGACCCUUCCAAUUGCCAUUUGUAGCCCUAUAACAGAGAUGACACAUAGUUCAUGCGUACAGUAUUAUAUCAGAGUAUAACAUGGCAUGUAUUAUCAGCCAAAGCUUCAAUAUCAAACAAAGGGCAGAAGGCUAGAGAGUGAUGAUAGCACAUCUGAUAUGAAAAUUGUCAUGUUUUGACCUUUUUAUCAUAUGCUUCAACAAUGACGAAAACUAACAGUUUAAUAUAGUGAUCUUUUAAUGUGGUAUUCAAGCAGAAGCUCAACACAUUUUAUCAUAUACUUCAGCAGAAAGUAUAUAUACAAAAGCUUUUUUAUAAAACUUUCAAAAUAUAAUUUCCAUUACUCAACAUAUUCUUUCCUGUUUGCUUAUAUUUUUUUCUAUAGUACUUUGUUACGCUUUUUACCGCUAACAUACUAUUAAGGCUUAUUUUCCGGAAUUUGCUGAUUGACCUCGUUUCAGAAUCUACUGAAUUCUGGUUUGUAGUUUUACAAGUGUACAACAAAACGUUGUGAUUGGUUAAAAACGACACAAACAAUAAAACUUGAACCAAUGACAUACCAUCGUUUUCAUUUUGGUGUAGGAACAACAAGAUUACCCAAGGUCAUUUAGAUUCGUAAAAGGCUAGAUGCCAUUCGAUAACGUUACGGACUGGCAUGCGAUUAUAGCCAGAAGCAGUUGAUAAAGGUUUUUGCUCUAAGUAUAUGAUAAGCAUGUGUAUCAUGCAUGAUGUUUACAUUAUGCAAAGUUUCAGUCAAACCUUUUCGGGCGUAUUGAAUGAAACAAAUAAAGAUAAGUCUGUUGUGUGAACUAAUGUAUUAUGGUUUUUCGUCAUCUUAGACGCAAAUAUUCAUAACACAUCACUCAAAUUUUCAGCACUCUUUUUGUAUCAUUAAAAGGUACAUUAUAGGGAUAAUGAUCAUAGGUGCCCUAAAAAGAAAUACACGAGACGAACGCUAUUUUUUUAUUGUUGUUUUGCUGAUAUUGAAACAAUUUCCAGUAAAAUAAAUGAUGAACAGAUAGUUAUUUCAGAAUGGCAAUAGUGUAACAUGCGCUUAAUUCCGUGUGAUAAAUUAAUCAGAAGUGUCCAUAAUAUUAAAUUGUUCAUGUGAGCUAUCAUGUUAUUUUCUUAUUUUGUAGGUAUUUGUGAACCGGUUGGCCAUCCCGAGUGCCUAAGACAACAAGGUUUUACCUGCGAUCAAAUGGAAAACAGCCCUCAUCUUAAACCAUAACACUUAUGUUGUCUACUACAAAUUCAUCGAUGUCUUAUUCCUGCUUUUCAAAUAAAGAUCAAGAGACUUAAUAAUAUUAAAAAGUUUCCAA